GGGUUGUGAGGUUAAGCGACUAAGCGUACACGGUGGAUGCCCUGGCAGUCAGAGGCGAUGAAGGGCGUGCUAAUCUGCGAUAAGCGCCGGUAAGGUGAUAUGAACCGUUAUAACCGGCGAUACCCGAAUGGGGAAACCCAGUGUGAUUCGUCACACUAUCAUUAACUGAAUCCAUAGGUUAAUGAGGCGAACCGGGGGAACUGAAACAUCUAAGUACCCCGAGGAAAAGAAAUCAACCGAGAUUCCCCCAGUAGCGGCGAGCGAACGGGGAGGAGCCCAGAGCCUGAAUCAGCAUGUGUGUUAGUGGAAGCGUCUGGAAAGGCGCGCGAUACAGGGUGACAGCCCCGUACACAAAAGCGCAUAUGCUGUGAGCUCGAUGAGUAGGGCGGGACACGUGGUAUCCUGUCUGAAUAUGGGGGGACCAUCCUCCAAGGCUAAAUACUCCUGACUGACCGAUAGUGAACCAGUACCGUGAGGGAAAGGCGAAAAGAACCCCGGCGAGGGGAGUGAAAAAGAACCUGAAACCGUGUACGUACAAGCAGUGGGAGCCCCACCACUAAGCCAGUGGUGAACUCCACAUACGCAUCCUUUGCUGAGGAUAUGGUUAACGGAGCGAAAGCGACGUUCAACC
rnacentral:rRNA from 1 species